UACGAGGGGGGCGAGCGUUGUUCGGAAUUAUUGGGCGUAAAGGGUGCGUAGGCGGUUUGGUAAGUCUCUUGUGAAAUCUAUGGGCUCAACUCAUAGUCUGCAAGGGAAACUGCCGGGCUUGAGUGUGGGAGAGGUGAGUGGAAUUUCCGGUGUAGCGGUGAAAUGCGCAGAUAGUCGGAGGAACACCGGUGGCGAAGGCGGUUCUCUGGGCCUUGACCUGACGCUGAGGAGCGAAAGCG
rnacentral:rRNA from 1 species